GAUGAUCUCUCUCUCUAGGAAUUCUCUUUAUCUCUGUCAGCGUGCAUGUGGUGAGUAUGGCUCCUAGGAAGUCAAGCUAUCCUGCUUCCCGCCAAGAGGACAGCCACUGGCUCAAAGCAGGCAGAGGAAUCUGAGCGAUCAUCUUGAAAAGGGUAAUGAUGUGCAGUGCUGUCGGCCAAGGAGCAAGGAAGCUCUGACCGCAUGGUAUCCACAAGAUCUUAUGACAUGAAUGUCCUCAAGCUCAUCUAUCUAAAAUGACAAAGAAUGAAUCCUUUCUCAUCAUCCUUUCUUCCUCUUCCAGGUAGGGAA